rnacentral:rRNA from 1 species
GAUGAACGCUGGCGGCGUGCCUAAUACAUGCAAGUCGAGCGAACAGACGAGGAGCUUGCUCCUCUGACGUUAGCGGCGGACGGGUGAGUAACACGUGGAUAACCUACCUAUAAGACUGGGAUAACUUCGGGAAACCGGAGCUAAUACCGGAUAAUAUAUUGAACCGCAUGGUUCAAUAGUGAAAGACGGUUUUGCUGUCACUUAUAGAUGGAUCCGCGCCGCAUUAGCUAGUUGGUAAGGUAACGGCUUACCAAGGCGACGAUGCGUAGCCGACCUGAGAGGGUGAUCGGCCACACUGGAACUGAGACACGGUCCAGACUCCUACGGGAGGCAGCAGUGGGGAAUCUUCCGCAAUGGGCGAAAGCCUGACGGAGCAACGCCGCGUGAGUGAUGAAGGUCUUCGGAUCGUAAAACUCUGUUAUUAGGGAAGAACAAAUGUGUAAGUAACUAUGCACGUCUUGACGGUACCUAAUCAGAAAGCCCCGGCUAACUACGUG